CUAUUCGGUGCUAUUUCAUCCAACAAUUGGAAUUAUAUUUGUGAUUGGCAGUGCUUGUGUUUGUUCGUGAAUCUGUUCCAAGUAGCUGCUGCCAUGCCUUUCAAUUGGCGGGCAGAGCUUUCAGCCCAAUCAAAUGUGUCAUCAGUAGCACAGUUGUAUUCUCCCACACUUGCAUUCACAUAAAGAGUAUUCGCAGAUACGGAAUUUUAGC
rnacentral:lncRNA from 1 species